rnacentral:rRNA from 1 species
CAUAGGUUAAUGAGGCGAACCGGGGGAACUGAAACAUCUAAGUACCCCGAGGAAAAGAAAUCAACCGAGAUUCCCCCAGUAGCGGCGAGCGAACGGGGAGGAGCCCAGAGCCUGAAUCAGUGUGUGUGUUAGUGGAAGCGUCUGGAAAGGCGCGCGAUACAGGGUGACAGCCCCGUACACAAAAAUGCACAUAUUGUGAGCUCGAUGAGUAGGGCGGGACACGUGGUAUCCUGUCUGAAUAUGGGGGGACCAUCCUCCAAGGCUAAAUACUCCUGACUGACCGAUAGUGAACCAGUACCGUGAGGGAAAGGCGAAAAGAACCCCGGCGAGGGGAGUGAAAAAGAACCUGAAACCGUGUACGUACAAGCAGUGGGAGCCUCUUAAUGGGGUGACUGCGUACCUUUUGUAUAAUGGGUCAGCGACUUAUAUUCUGUAGCAAGGUUAACCGAAUAGGGGAGCCGAAGGGAAACCGAGUCUUAACUGGGCGUUAAGUUGCAGGGUAUAGACCCGAAACCCGGUGAUCUAGCCAUGGGCAGGUUGAAGGUUGGGUAACACUAACUGGAGGACCGAACCGACUAAUGUUGAAAAAUUAGCGGAUGACUUGUGGCUGGGGGUGAAAGGCCAAUCAAACCGGGAGAUAGCUGGUUCUCCCCGAAAGCUAUUUAGGUAGCGCCUCGUGAAUUCAUCUCCGGGGGUAGAGCACUGUUUCGGCAAGGGGGUCAUCCCGACUUACCAACCCGAUGCAAACUGCGAAUACCGGAGAAUGUUAUCACGGGAGACACACGGCGGGUGCUAACGUCCGUCGUGAAGAGGGAAACAACCCAGACCGCCAGCUAAGGUCCCAAAGUCAUG